rnacentral:rRNA from 1 species
UCAUUUACCGAGUUGUCCUCCGCGACACUCCCUUUACACCCCUUGUGAACAUACCGUCGUUGCCUCGGUGGGCGCGCUACAACGCCCGCCGGCGGCCCUUUACUUAAACUCUGUCAAUUUUACUACUUCUGAACCUAUAACAAAUCAUGUUAAAACUUUCAACAACGGAUCUCUUGGUUCUGGCAUCGAUGAAGAACGCAGCGAAAUGCGAUACGUAAUGUGAAUUGCAGAAUUCAGUGAAUCAUCGAAUCUUUGAACGCACAUUGCGCCCGCUGGUAUUCCAGCGGGCAUGCCUGUUCGAGCGUCAUUUCAACCCUUAAGCCCCUGUUGCUUAGCGUUGGGAGACUACCCCGCCAUGCCGCGGCGGUAGCUCCCUAAAGCGAGUGGCGGAGCCGACCUGUGCUCUAGGCGUAGUAGAUUUUCGUCUCGCCUCUGUAGUCGGGUCUGGUUUUUCCUGCCGUAAAACGAAGAGAACACUUUGUUCUUUUUACCUCUAGGUUGACCUCGGAUCAGGUAGGAAUACCCGCUGAACUUACCUU